CCUACGGGGGGCAGCAGUAGGGAAUCUUCCACAAUGGGCGAAAGCCUGAUGGAGCAACGCCGCGUGGGUGAAGAAGGUCUUCGGAUCGUAAAACUCUGUUGUUAGAGAAGAAAGUGCGUGAGAGUAACUGUUCACGUUUCGACGGUAUCUAACCAGAAAGCCACGGCUAACUACGUGCCAGCAGCCGCGGUAAUACGUAGGUGGCAAGCGUUAUCCGGAUUUAUUGGGCGUAAAGGGAACGCAGGCGGUCUUUUAAGUCUGAUGUGAAAGCCCUCGGCUUAACCGGGGUAGUGCAUUGGAAACUGGGAGACUUGAGUGCAGAAGAGGAGAGUGGAACUCCAUGUGUAGCGGUGAAAUGCGUAGAUAUAUGGAAGAACACCAGUGGCGAAAGCGGCUCUCUGGUCUGUAACUGACGCUGAGGUUCGAAAGCGUGGGUAGCAAACAGGAUUAGAUACCCCUGUAGUC
rnacentral:rRNA from 1 species